rnacentral:rRNA from 1 species
AUUGAACGCUGGCGGCAGGCCUAACACAUGCAAGUCGAGCGGAUGACGGGAGCUUGCUCCUUGAUUCAGCGGCGGACGGGUGAGUAAUGCCUAGGAAUCUGCCUGGUAGUGGGGGACAACGUUUCGAAAGGAACGCUAAUACCGCAUACGUCCUACGGGAGAAAGCAGGGGACCUUCGGGCCUUGCGCUAUCAGAUGAGCCUAGGUCGGAUUAGCUAGUUGGUGGGGUAAUGGCUCACCAAGGCGACGAUCCGUAACUGGUCUGAGAGGAUGAUGAGUCACACUGGAACGGAGACACGGUCCAGACUCCUACGGGAGGCAGCAGUGGGGAAGAUUGGACAAUGGGCGAAAGCCUGAUCCAGCCAUGCCGCGUGUGUGAAGAAGGUCUUCGGAUUGUAAAGCACUUUAAGUUGGGAGGAAGGGCAGUAAGCUAAUACCUUGCUGUUUUGACGUUACCGACAGAAUAAGCACCGGCUAACUCUGUGCCAGCCGCCGCCGUAA